rnacentral:rRNA from 1 species
UAUAGCACGGCUAUCCGUGCCAGCAGCGCGGUAUACGGAGUGGCAGCGUAUCGACUAUGGCGUAAAGCGUCGCAGCGGCCUCAAGUCUGCUGUUAAAAAGUGGAGCUUAACUCCAUCAUGGCAGUGGAAACUGUUGGGCUUGAGUGUGGUAGGGGCAGAGGGAAUUCCCGGUGUAGCGGUGAAAUGCGUAGAUAUCGGGAAGAACACCAGUGGCGAAGGCGCUCUGCUGGGCCAUCACUGACGCUCAUGGACGAAAGCCAGGGGAGCGAAAGGGAUUAGAUACCCCUGUAGUCCUGGCCGUAAACGAUGAACACUAGGUGUCGGGGGAAUCGACCCCCUCGGUGUCGUAGCCAACGCGUUAAGUGUUCCGCCUGGGGAGUACGCACGCAAGUGUGAAACUCAAAGGAAUUGACGGGGGCCCGCACAAGCGGUGGAGUAUGUGGUUUAAUUCGAUGCAACGCGAAGAACCUUACCAGGGUUUGACAUCCUGCGAAUCUCUUGGAAACAGGAGAGUGCCUUCGGGAGCGCAGUGACAGGUGGUGCAUGGCUGUCGUCAGCUCGUGUCGUGAGAUGUUGGGUUAAGUCCCGCAACGAGCGCAACCCACGUCUUUAGUUGCCAGCAUUUAGUUGGGCACUCUAGAGAGACUGCCGGUGAUAAACCGGAGGAAGGUGUGGAUGACGUCAAGUCAUCAUGCCCCUUACAUCCUGGGCUACACACGUACUACAAUGCUACGGACAAAGGGCAGCAAGUUCGCGAGGACAAGCAAAUCCCAUAAACCGUGGCUCAGUUCAGAUCGUAGGCUGCAACUCGCCUACGUGAAGGCGGAAUCGCUAGUAAUCGCAGGUCAGCAUACUGCGGUGAAUACGUUCCCGGGCCUUGUACACACCGCCCGUCACACCAUGGAAGUUGGCCACGCCCGAAGCCGUUACUCCAACCCUUGUGGAGGAGGACGU